AGUGAACGCUGGCGGUAGGCCUAACACAUGCAAGUCGAACGGCAGCACAGUAAGAGCUUGCUCUUACGGGUGGCGAGUGGCGGACGGGUGAGGAAUACAUCGGAAUCUACUUUUUCGUGGGGGAUAACGUAGGGAAACUUACGCUAAUACAGCAUACGACCUACGGGUGAAAGCAGGGGAUCUUCGGACCUUGCGCGAUUGAAUGAGCCGAUGUCGGAUUAGCUAGUUGGCGGGGUAAAGGCCCACCAAGGCGACGAUCCGUAGCUGGUCUGAGAGGAUGAUCAGCCACACUGGAGCUGAGACACGGUCCAGACUCCUACGGGAGGCAGCAGUGGGGAAUAUUGGACAAUGGGCGCAAGCCUGAUCCAGCCAUACCGCGUGGGUGAAGAAGGCCUUCGGGUUGUAAAGCCCUUUUGUUGGGAAAGAAAAGCAGCAGGUUAAUACCCCGCUGUUCUGACGGUACCCAAAGAAUAAGCACCGGCUAACUUCGUG
rnacentral:rRNA from 1 species